AGCUACGAGUUAUCUAUGGAUGC
rnacentral:siRNA from 1 species